rnacentral:rRNA from 1 species
UACGGAGGCCCCAAGCGUUGUUCGGAUUUAUUGGGCGUAAAGGGUGCGUAGGCGGUUUGGUAAGUCUGGUGUGAAAGGCAGGGGCUUAACUCCUGGACUGCAUUGGAUACUGCCGAACUGGAGGACUGGAGAGGAGAAUGGAAUUCACGGUGGAGCAGUGAAAUGCGUAGAUAUCGUGAGGAAGGCCAGUGGCGAAGGCGAUUCUCUGGACAGUACCUGACGCUGAGGCACGAAGGCUGGGGGAGCGAACAGG